UACGUAGGGUGCGAGCGUUGUCCGGAUUUAUUGGGCGUAAAGAGCGUGUAGGCGGCCAGGUAGGUCUGCUGUGAAAACUCGAGGCUUAACCUCGAGAUGUCGGCGGAAACCAUCUGGCUAGAGUCCGGAAGAGGAGAGUGGAAUUCCUGGUGUAGCGGUGAAAUGCGCAGAUAUCAGGAAGAACACCCGUGGCGAAGGCGGCUCUCUGGGACGGUACUGACGCUGAGACGCGAAAGCGUGGGGAGCGAACAGG
rnacentral:rRNA from 1 species